CCUGAAGAAAAUACAGAGGUCUAUUUCAAAGAUCUGCUCCCAUUUCUGUGGGGAUCACCAGCAGGAUGCCCACGAACUCCUGGUGUUCUGCCUUAUUAAAUUGAAAGAGGAGGGGGAGACUCUCCGCAGGAUAAUGGGGGUGGCCACCAGGUGCCCUGUGGCCAACUUGGAGUUCCAGCUCCUAUCAGUGCGCACCUGCAACAGCUGUGGACUCAGAGCAGAGAGGAGGGAGGAUUAUAACCAUCUCUCCAUCCCGUCCUCCCACCAAGGCACAGUGAUCGACAACCUGGCCCA